rnacentral:lncRNA from 1 species
GGGAUGAUGAUGGGGAAACCAUGGUUUCACUUCCUCUAUUGUAUGUUGGAUUGUUAGGACUGUUUUGGGACAGGUUGAUAUGUAAACAUAUUGGGGACUGCUUGGUUGAUGUCUGGGAAGGGUGUAAAUUGUUGAUAUUGAAAUAUAGCUGUGUAGUGUACAAAUGCAAUAAAAGAAAGCGGGGUUGAAAGAACACCCUUAGUUUGGUAAUUACGGGUUUGCUGCCCGAGCAUUAUUGUUGAGUGAGAUUGGACUGCCUAAGCAUGUUUAGUAACUACUAAAAAUACUAGUUUAUCACCUAUUUUAUUGUAGAUAAGUAUUUGAAAAGAAAGGAGGUACUUCAAGGUAACUACAAGGUGGUACAACAAGGUAUGUAAGGGUUUUCGAUUUCCUACUAAUUGGCAUGAAAUCUAGACUCGUCCUCGACACAUAGAGGAAGCCUACCAGGUCCAACACGACUUAUAACCUUGUUCUCACUCUUUAACAUGUCUGCACGUUCCAAUACAUGACAUAUACAUUGAAUACUCUGCAUGAGUUCUCCUUUUAACUAAAUAAGGUCCAUAUUUUAUUUCAGCUCCUAUGCAUUUCACUAAUUGUGUAACUACUCUCUACAUUGUUAUUCUUGCAUUAUAUGAUUAUUACACGUCACUUGUUGACUACAUAGUCC